GGCGGGCUGCGCGGUGCGACAGGGGUAACAUUUCCUCGGGGCCUUAGUCAUUCCCUAGGGAGCUGUCCCUGCCUCGGCCCGUGGGCUGGGGCACAUGGCGCCCACCUACUCUGUAGGUUCCCGGGUUCGACUUCUCCAUCGGCCGGGUGGCUCGCCU
rfam:Aurantimonas sp. 22II-16-19i contig36, whole genome shotgun sequence.